GGCAUUUCCCACACAAGCACCUAUCAAAAUGAAAUGUGAGGUUAACUUCGCUCGUUUCUUUCAGUUUGAUCGCGCACUCUCUUGCUCGCCCACCCGUCCGUCCGCCCUCCCUCCAUCCCUCCAGUAGUAGUUAUAUGGCUGGUUCAACAACCUGCGUGAAGAUGUCUCUCAACAUCAGGACUGCAGUGCCCAUAAUCGCCCCUUUCAACACGUCGGAUGCCAGACUGACACGCCUCAGAUUAUAUCGACGGGAACCUAAACAAACUCGCCGGUGGGAAUGCAUUCUGUGGGAAUACAAAGUGCACGGUUGAAGUCGACUUCAGGCGCACACAGUUGUCCAUGGGAUCGCUAAAGGCACACGUAAGAAGCAAAGGUAUGUA
ensembl:lncRNA